rnacentral:lncRNA from 1 species
GAGCCAAGAAGUGAGUAAUUGCUUACUGAAUUGUGAAAGCUGGGAUGAUUUAACUACAGCUGCCAUUUUCAACUGCCCUGAGAAUACCAUGUCAGAAGCCAGUCAAGAGUACUGGAUGAUGGAAAUCUACAUGGAGGAGAAUGAAAGUGUCUCAACCAAAAUCAGCACUGACUGAAAAGUAAGGCCAUCUAGGAUGUUCCAGCCCCAGCUAAACUUCACCUGAAUGCAUGAGUGUACCCAGGAGAAAUGUCAGAAGAACCACCAAGUAACCUACAGACAAAUAAAAAAUAAUCAAGUGCCAUUUUUUUUUUGUAAGCAACUGAGCUUUGGAGAUGUUUGUUAUGCAGCAAUAGUUAGUCUAACAUGACUGUCAUUCUAAAAAUCAAUGCUAAUCAUUGCAAAUGUUAAUACCAAUAAUUAAUACAAAUGACAGCUUUCUGACAAGAGUCGAGUAUAUCUCCAAAACCUAAGUUUCUUAAUGUUGAAUUAGAGUUCUUAAUGAAUAAACAUAUAGUCUUCUAAGUUAGUAAAUGUACUUCAAAUAGAAAUCCGUUUUUUGAAACUAACUAUAUUGCUGUUGUGAAUUAAAUUGUGUCCCCAAGAAUUCAUGUUGAAGCCCUAACCCCAUUGAUACUGUAUUUGGGGAUAGGGGACUUUAGGAAGGGAAUUAAGGUUAAAUGAGAUUAUGUGGGUGGAGUUUUAAUCUGAUAAUUCUGGUGACCAUCAUAAGAAGAGGAAGAGGCACCAGCAAUCUCUCUUUCUUCACAAGUACACAGAGAAGAGGCCAUGUGAGGACACAGUGGGGAAGUAAAUAUCUGCAAAUUAAGAAGGGAAGCCUCACCAGAAGCCAGCCCUGACAGGCCAUGGAUCUUAGAGUUACAGCUUUCAGAACUGUGAGAAAAUAAAUUUCUGUUAUUAAAGCCACCCAGUUUGUGGUAUUUUGUCAUGGUAGCCCUAGAAGAUGAAUGCAAUCACUUAUUUACUUUACUUUACAUUUGGAUUUUCAUUUACUCCUGGAGAAUUAAAUAGUCAUGAAGAAGGACUGAGAUAAAAUGUUCUGCUACUAUUGUAGUUUUCUUCUGCUGCUUUGUAUUUCCUGCCAAUUUCCCCCAUAUAUUUGAUGAUAAGUUACGGAGGGCAUAAGAGUUCUUUAGUACACUCUUCUAAUUCUGAUUAUAUACCCAUUGUGACAAAAUAGCACUUUCAGUAAAUGCCUUUGGCUUUGA